GCGUUUCUGCUGUUUCCCGUGCGUGUCGAGUGGUAGCCUUGGUGAGCUUUACCUCAGUGCCGGCGGGGGAACAAGGACCGUAAAGUCCGGCAAAGUGCGGGGUACAGCGGCAUAAAAGUGGCGAACGAAUGCUAAAACCGCAGACGGACUGCGCGGGAAACCCGGGCCCCUUGCGACUUUACCGGAUGUUAGUCGCCCAGGUGGUAUUCGCGGGAAAGGGUAGCAAGGGCUCCGCUCGGCGACGGUCCUGAGAGGACCUGAAAGGAUACUGGGACUGUGACAUAUUAACCACUAAAACACUUUAAAGCGGUGGGGAAUUUUGGACAAUGGGGGAAAGCCUGAUCCAGCAAUGCCCCGUGCAGGAUGAAGGCCCUCGGGUUGUAAACUGCUUUUGUACGGAACGAAAAGCCUGGGGCUAUUAUCCCCGGGUCAUGACGGUAUCGUAAGAAUAAGCACCGGGGGGGCUACGUGCCAGCACCCGCGGUAAUACGUAGGGUGCAAGCGUUAAUCGGAAUUACUCGGCGUUAAGCGUGCGCAAGCGGUUUUGUAAGACAGUGGUGAAAUCACCGGGCUCAACCUGGGAACUGCCAUUGUGACUGCAAAGCUAGAGUGCGGCAGAGGCGGGAUGGAAUUCCGCGUGUUCAGUGAAAUGCGUAGAUAUGCGGAGGAACACCGAUGGCGAAGGCAAUCCCCUGGGCCUGCACUGACGCUCAUGCACGAAACGUGGGGAGCAACAGGAUUAUAUACCCUGGUAGUCCACGCCCUAAACGAUGUCAACUGAUUGUUGGUUCUUAACUGACUCAGUGACAAGCUAACGCGUGAAGUUGACCGCCUGGCGAGUACGGGCGCAAGGCUGAAACUCGAGGAAUUUGACGGGGACUCGCACGAGCCGGUGGAUGAUGUGGGUUAAUUCUAUGUACGCCAAUAAACUUACCCACCUUUGACUUGGCCGGAACUUACCUGAAAUGGUUUGAUGCUCGAAGAAGAACCUUGCCCACAGGGGCCGCCAUGGGCGGUCAUCGACCUCGUGUCAGCGAGAGGUUUGGGUAAGUUCCCCCAACGACCGCCACCCAUGGCUAUUCUACUGGCUUUCAUUGUAGCAGACCACUCUUAUGGGGAACUUCAGUGAACAAAUCGGGAGGAAGUGCCGGAUAACGCUAGGUCUCUCAUGGACCUUAUCAGUGGGCGCUUACCCCUUUAUUACAUGGCUGGGUCCAU
rnacentral:rRNA from 1 species